UACGUAGGGUGCGAGCGUUAAUCGGAAUUACUGGGCGUAAAGGGCGCGUAGGCGGCCUGCUAAGUCGAACGUGAAAUCCCUGGGCUCAACCCAGGAACUGCGUCCGAUACUGGUUGGCUUGAAUCCGGGAGAGGGAUGUGGAAUUCCAGGUGUAGCGGUGAAAUGCGUAGAUAUCUGGAGGAACAUCGGUGGCGAAGGCGGCAUCCUGGACCGGUAUUGACGCUGAGGCGCGAAAGCCAGGGGAGCAAACAGG
rnacentral:rRNA from 1 species